UGCUCUGCUAUCUGAACUGGACCGCCACGACAAGAUAAAAUGGAUAACAGAAAGUUUAUUCAAGAAUCGUUUGACAGACAACCCUUUCAAGAGAAUUGCAAGGGGAAAAAAAUCAAGAUUUGGAGGAAUUACCCACAGAGAUAGAAGUCUGUUUCCUUUGAUUUCUCCAAAAGAAGAAAAGAAGAGAGAAACUGGAUAACUGCUGGACUUUUCUACCAAGAGAUGCUAAAGUGCCUACCGAAUGAGAACACCUUUUCCCAAGGCAAAAAAAGAAAGUCAACAGAGCAAUCAGAACAAUAUUAUUCUCUGGGUUGGAAACAGGGUAUCUUGUUUACUGAAGUUUUCCAAGUAAAAAAAAAAAAUCAUUAUUUUAACGCAGACUUUUAAAACUGUGCAGAAAAAAUAAAGCUUCGAGCUGUCA